rnacentral:rRNA from 1 species
GAUGAACGCUGGCGGCGUGCCUAAUACAUGCAAGUCGAGCGAACGGACGAGAAGCUUACUUAUCUGAUGUUAGCGGCGGACGGGUGAGUAACACGUGGAUAACCUACCUAUAAGACUGGGAUAACUUCGGGAAACCGGAGCUAAUACCGGAUAAUAUUUUGAACCGCAUGGUUCAAAAGUGAAAGACGGUCUUGCUGUCACUUAUAGAUGGAUCCGCGCUGCAUUAGCUAGUUGGUAAGGUAACGGCUUACCAAGGCAACGAUGCAUAGCCGACCUGAGAGGGUGAUCGGCCACACUGGAACUGAGACACGGUCCAGACUCCUACGGGAGGCAGCAGUAGGGAAUCUUCCGCAAUGGGCGAAAGCCUGACGGAGCAACGCCGCGUGAGUGAUGAAGGUCUUCGGAUCGUAAAACUCUGUUAUUAGGGAAGAACAUAUGUGUAAGUAACUGUGCACAUCUUGACGGUACCUAAUCAGAAAGCCACGGCUAACUACGUG